AAAAGUUGGUAGGCGGAACCUAACGCCUGAUUGGUUACCCUCUGCAUCAAGCCAAGACAAAUCAAUUCCGGAUAAUGGAUUGAUGCAGAGCUACUGAACACAUUCCAAUACACUGGGUGGCGCUAUUCACCUCUACGUUGGUUUAGUUACACGGUUAAACAGAACUUUCAUUGCAACGGCUAAACAUCAAGAGAAGACUCGGUCCUGCUAGCCCCAAUGUUGAGACGCUGUGUGAGGUGCAGGACAAAAUGUCUAAAAGUUGCCCGGGAAUUUGAUUGAGGAAGCUCUGAGCAGAAGUCCAACGGCUCCCGCGGCACCGGUGACUCCGGCAGCUCAGUCACAGCAGAUACCGGCCGCUCAAUCACGUACACCUGUCCAAGCGGAGGUAGCAAGGCUCUUUGCGCCAUAUAACAUUGGAGCCAGAAGGAAUAUGACGAGACGACCAGCACAAGUCCAAGUUAGCCGAAGAAGCUACACACACACUGUCUGUUGUUUGGCUGACCACAAUGCGGAUAAAAUUCCAAGCGUACUGUUUAAAGCUGAACUUCUUACUUCAGGACUUGGAGAGCAAAAAGUAACAUUUUCAGGAGAGCUCACGUCCUGCCUCUGGUCCAGUCAUCCCCUGCAUCACUUGUCAGAAGGAAGUUCCCUUUUCAGAGAUGAAGCUGCACAGAUUGAGCUGCAAUGGGACACCCAUGCAGGAAUCAGAAAGAGAACAAGAGGGAGGCCAAAGUGAAGAAAAUGAUAGUGAGACAGCCCUAGUCAGUGACAGUGUUCCAGUGAGGCCUGAAACAUCAGCUGAGAGUGCAGUAGUACCGGCAGUGAUUGUCAACGAGGAGUUGGAUCGCAAAGAAACAGACAGUGGUUUGUGUCAUCACAAUAGUGUUGCUAUAAGAUUGUGUGUAACUGAAAAGUUAAUAGAAAGAUAACACCUGUAGGAUAUAAUUAGAUAAGAUAAUACAGUUACAGACAACUAACCACUUAGUCAUUAUAUCCACAAUAUGAUAGUUAUUUAUCCGAAAUCUAAAUGUGGAAGAUAUUUUGUGAAUGCACCAAUUGUCAACCUUACAAUAUCGUUGCAAUAUCGACAUCAAGGUGUUAGGUCAAAAAUGUGAUA